rnacentral:rRNA from 1 species
UACGGAGGGAGCUAGCGUUGUUCGGAAUUACUGGGCGUAAAGCGCGCGUAGGCGGCUUUGUAAGUUGGAGGUGAAAGCCCGGAGCUCAACUCCGGAACUGCCUUUAAAACUGCAUCGCUUGAAUCCAGGAGAGGUGAGUGGAAUUCCGAGUGUAGAGGUGAAAUUCGUAGAUAUUCGGAAGAACACCAGUGGCGAAGGCGGCUCACUGGACUGGUAUUGACGCUGAGGUGCGAAAGCGUGGGGAGCAAACAGG